ensembl:misc_RNA Gm54430 predicted gene, 27957
AAUCCUGUUACACCUGGGAUUUCCAUACUUACAACCUGCAAAAACAAAAAAGUGUUGUAAGCCCUCCAGAAGCAAAUCUAGGACAUCCUUCCCUGAAUGAACGCUGGGGUAUCUGGAGAACUGACGUGAGGUAAG